rnacentral:rRNA from 1 species
AUUGAACGCUGGCGGCAGGCCUAACACAAGCAAAUCGAACGAGUGGCGGACGUGUGAGGAAUGUCUGGGGAACUGCCCGAUGGAUGGGGAUAAGUACUGGAAACGGUAUCUCAUACGUCAUGCCAUCGGCUGUGCCCAGAUGGGAUUAGCUAGUGGGUGGGGUAACGGCUCACCUAGGCGACGAUCCCUAGCUGGUCUGAGAGGAUGACCAUCGCAACGUGAGCUGAGAAAAGGGGCCGACGCCUACGAUAGGGAGCAGGGGGGAAUAUUGCAAAACGGGUGAAAGCCUGAUGCAGCCAUGCCGCGUGUAUGAAGCAGGCAUUCGGGUUGUAAAGCACUUUCAGCUGGGAGGCGUUCCCCUCAGAAGAAGCACCGGCUACCUCCGUGCCAGCCGCCGCGGUAAUAC